rnacentral:rRNA from 1 species
GAUGAACGCUGGCGGUGUGCCUAAUACAUGCAAGUCGAGCGACCAGACGAGGAGCUUGCUCCUCUGACGUUAGCGGCGGACGGGCGAGUAACACGUGGAUAACCUACCUCUAAGUCUGGGAUAACUUCGGGAAACAGGAGCCACUAACGCAUAAUAUAUUGAACCGCAUGGAUCAAUAGUGAAAGACGGUUUUGCUGUCACUUAUAGAUGGAUCCGCGUCGCAUUAGCUAGUUGGUAAGGUAACGGCGUACCAAGGCAACGAUGCGUAGCCGACCUGAGAGGGUGAUCGGCCACACUGGAACUGAGACACGGUCCAGACUCCUACGGGAGGCAGCAGUAGGGAAUCUUCCGCAAUGGGCGAAAGCCUGACGGAGCAACGCCGCGUGAGUGAAGAAGGUCUUCGGAUCGUAAAACUCUGUUAUUAGGGAAGAACAAAUGUAUAAGUAACUAUGCACGUCUUGACGGUACCUAAACAGAAAGCCACGGCUAACUACGUG